CCUCCCCCUAUUUUCCCAUCACUYGUUCCUCCCNAAAAAAGUACAAUACAAACUUAAAAAAAACCAAAAAAAUUUCAAGYCUAUAAGAAAACGAUGUCAGAGGUUUGAGAUUUUUACUURGUGAGAUUCACUCACGCACCAGAUUUUCAAACGCAUCCAGAAAAUCAAUGGACUCGAGACCAUCAAAAAAUAUCGAGCUCACUGGAUGUUCUGUUCAAGCCGGCAGCGAACUCGGCUCGAUAAAAUGUUAUCCGUCAGUACAUAGAUCCCGAUCAGUCCAC
rnacentral:misc_RNA from 1 species